UAUAAAAGAACUGGCUUGCAUCAUUGCACAGGAGUAGUGACACCGUGGGGACUGAGGAAUUAUAAAAACAACCGACUGUUCACACCUUCAUACACCAUACACAACACACUUGCGUCAGCCGUUUAUUAAUGAAAUGCAGUAGCAGCAGCGUUUGGAAAGGAGACGCACUCUGGUGUUCAAGCCCCAUGCCAUGCAGGUGAAAAUUUGCCAGUAAAAGAUAUGAGCUCUCAUUAACUUUAACAGGGCAACAACCCCCCACCCAGGGUCCCGCCCCUGCAACGGCGAGGGUGGGAUUUUACUGGCUUGUUAAUGUGACUGACAGCUCAAAAGGUCAGUCUGUUUGUCUGCUGCGACGCAACGGCUUCCAUACUUCAUAAAGAGAAUGACGACAGUUGGUCAGUAGUGCCAGUGGGAUACUGGCUGCAGAUAUUACAGCAUACAGGUUUGUGCCAGCUGGUUGGCUAUAAGCUCUUUGGUCAUUAGACACGCAUAGCUCACUCUCUCCCCUCUAUCAUUUCUCCACCACGCUUGUUAACUACUGACGAAAAGAAACCAGUCGUCCAUCACACACAAAACAGUUAAUGAAGUUAGCUUUACAAAGCAUAAUGCCAACCCGACUCAAUUUUCUCAUCUUUUCCAAUACAACAAUCAAUUUUCAACAAAAUAUGUGUGAGUUGUUUCACAGUAGAACUGCUUGUGGCUUGUUUGCAUUAUCAAUGCCCCCAACGCUUCAAUAUCUACCCUACAUGCACAUGUAUCUAUAUAGUGAAGUUUAGCAUGAUUUUGCUCAUUAACUACAAAUCACACCAAAGCAUAGCAUGCAAUACUUUUUUUAUUGCAGUAAUUAAACAAAUUCAUAUACAAAGCUAAGCAUGCAUGUUCACCUGUGGAUCAAGCAAGUUUCAAGUCUCUGCAAGUUAAAUUCUGUAGCAUACAGAAAUGAUUGGAAACCUCUGGCUGGGCAAAGAGCAACAAUGGUCAACAUGGAGGGUUAAAAUACGAGCAAAACUAGCUUCAAGACUAUACAGAUCCACCAAUGAAAGCUAAAGCAUGCAAUAGAAACUGUCACGUUUAUUUGUGCAUUUUUCAUGUACUAUUGUCAGUACUUUAGCACUAUGAAUAUUUGUAUAGAGUAUGCAGAAUAUCAGUGUUCAAUGUAUACAUUUUGAAGUCAAAUUAACAGACUGAUGCCAACAAUUUUAUUUUGCAUGUGCUUACACUCCAAAUCAUACAACAUGUCUUGACAUUGGUAAUUUCACAUUCAGUUUGGACUGCACUGGUUUUAAAAUACUGGGUUUAUGAUUUAACGCGUUUGUUAAUCAUAUUUUACAAUGCCAAAAUGUAUGCCAAAUGGUGACAACAAUAUGGGCUGUUCCUUUGUCGUUCUCAUUUCCUUCAAGGCAUCGCCUUGGAUAACUGACAAAGUCUGAGUAAAUGUUCCUCAGCAGGAAACAUAUACUUUACUCAAAUAACAAAGUGUCACAGAUGCUUCCUGUUCAUAAAUCAUAACUGAACUUAACGUGACCUUUCACGUGACAAGGAUUCACCCAAAACAUUAGGAUUUGAUAUCUCCUCACUAUGAAUUUUCAUAUCAAAACCCAUGACAAGCUAACCAGUCGCUCUAAAUCAAAGUCCACAGAUAGAGGGGCCAUCAGAGGAAAUUGAGAAACACUGGAAAGGCUGUGGAAUAUGAAUCAAUCACUAAGCCUACAAGUGCCAAGCCAACAUGAUACAGCAGAUCAGUUCAGUGCAGGUGAAACUCACUCUCAGGAAAACUCACACACUUGCAUAAUGUAGACACUGACAGAUAGGCCUUUCACACGGAGACCUUUUUGACAUGUCACAGUAUGAAAAAUAUGAAUAAUGACAGUUUCAGGGUCCUGGUGUUGCACAUGUUGGCUCACUGUCAAACUGUCAUGGCUUACAGGGACACAUGAAUACAGCAGAGCCAUCGUUAGCGUUAUUAAUAACACCUGUGAUUUUCCUACGACGACAGUUGAAAGUUGCUGUUAAAAAAUAGGCCUGUUGAAUGGUGUGCUGCGUGGGAACAAAAUGCUAAAAAGGUUUCCAUGAAAAUGAAUUUAUCAUCUCGACUUUCAGGUAAAAGAAAAAUUAAUGUUCUUCACAGUCUAUUGUAACGAUUCUGGGCAGAUCAGACACAGAGAAAGACUCAGGACACAAGGUAAGAUUCAAAAAGUAGGCAAAGUCUUUAUUGGAAAGCCAGGCAGUCAUACACAUGUACAUCAGUCCAAAUCAAACCAGCAAAUCCAGGCAGGGAGUAGGCAAAAAUCCAAAAAAUAGAGAAAAAAAAAGAAAUGUCAAAAACCAUGGAGACUUAAACUAAGGGAAAAACUGCUGGAAAGCGAUGAACACACAAGGAUGAACAAAGACGAUCUGGCAGCAGAACAGGGAAAACAGGAGUAUAUAUAUACUAUAUGGGGUUGGAUGAUAGCAAAACCAGGGGCAGGUGAGUAAUUGGAAGCAGGUGUGGAUGAUCAAGGGAGCGGAAGACACUCGAGGGCAGGAAGUGGAAUGACAAGACAUGUGACUACUACAAAAUAAAACAGGAAACACAACAGGCAGUGAUUAACAGGAUGUUAAAUCUAUACUGUAACGUUUUUGUGGUAAUGAGUGCAAUUAUUUUGUGCUAAUUUCCAUCAUCUGCCUCAUCUAAUGUUACUUUACUUUGUUAUGUCCUUCAUUUUUCGGAAUGCUUUUUGACAGUUUCCAAGAAAAACAAACGGACUGAACAUUUAGCUGUUUAUAUGUUUUGGUAGUUAUCCAACAUGUCUUGUCGCUGGACUCUUUUCUGCUACUGUGGGUGUGGAAACGAGGUCUCUGUGCCACUUCAAGGAUGGAUGGAUGAUUGUUUAACGGUGGAGUGAAACAGCAGCUCUAGACUCCUUUUCUUUGAUUCAGGUGGACUAAUACAAAGACCUGACAUUUACUACGAAGAAAUAGUGGAGUGGGGAGGGAGAGACAGACAGACGGGCACCAUGCUGUCUCAGGUGUGUCAAGACUGCCAAGAAGAGAUGGAUGGAUGGCCAGGUCUCAGUGAACCCUUCCUGUGCCUCUGUCUGUCUCUCUGAGGAGGCCGAUUGUCUCUUCCGAACGCUGGUCUGAGGCCAGAUGGAGGAGAGUUAAACAGCAGCAGUGAGGGACUGAUCCUGGAGAGCAUUAACGCAUCCCAGAUGACCUGACUGGCCCACCUGUGUGUGUGUGUCAGCGCAUUCUCGUUCAAAUGUAUAAGCACGCGUAACAGCAUCGCUUGCUUGUUAUCUCUCUUCAUUGGUAGUAGCCUGGUAUUUUGUGAAUCUUCCUCUCUGGGGGUGUGUUUGUGUCUGAUUGCCUCUCUCUCUCUCUCUCUCUCUCUCUCUCUCUCUCUCUGAUUAGUUGCUUUCAUCUAAAAACACCACCAGUUCAACGCUAACUGCAGCACAAUGAGCUCUAGAACGCCAAGUACAAGCCUGGAGCAACACUGCCACACAAAACACACAGCUAGUCUAAAGGAAUCUUGUUCCAAAUAACUUUUUGCACAUACAGCAUACAGGGCAAUAUAUGUUUAAUAGUCUGACAUAUAGUAAUGUAUGCCACAUAGCAUAAUGCUUUGGCACACAACUCACAUCCCCCCCCAGUUUCUUUACAGGGCACCCUACAGCCACUGUCAUGCACUGAGGGCAGUUUACGAUGCAUGGGAAAACGCAGCCUUGGCACCGCACCCAGCACACUCCACACAGCUCAGUUACAACUAGGAAAUGGUGGCACACACAAAAGAACAAAAGUGUAUGUGAGAAAGCGUUCAGAACGAGUACAGGUAUAUGUUGCUUUAGGAAUGUGACACGUGAAGAGCAAAUGAUGUUGCCAAGUUCCCGUCAUAGUCAUCUCAACGUUUCUCAUUACUUGUUAGAUGGAUGACUAAUAAAUAAAAGACUAAGGUUCAAAGUCAUUUGUAUAACAGAUAGUUAGUAGAUCAAACAUUGCCAGAGAGAGAGGAGUAAAGUUCCCCAUAACAUCUGUGGGAUAAGCUUUUUAAUAUUGUAGAGUAAGAGUUAGUUGAUUUAAGUGCACUAGGACAUUUUGCUAGUCUCAAAAAUAGCUAGGUUAAAGGUAGCUAAACAAACUAUAGCUAAUGUUAGCUAAACAUACACUUUGUUCACUUCACCUUUACAGAAGAUAUGCAACAGCAUGAAUUACAAGAAAACGGCUCUGAGUUUAUACUGUGGGAGUGUUGGGUGGAGCCGUUUCCAUGGUAAGGGUGCUGUCAGGCAUUACCGAUGUAUACACACGAGAUGCACUCUGUGAAGGGACAUUUAUUGGUGUGUGCGGUAAACGGCAGACAGGUGGAUCUGUUAUGUAUGGAAACACACACACACACACACACACACACACACACACACACACACACACACACAGGUCAUACUUACAUUAAAAUGUUAUGCAAAUUUUAAGCAAAUAUACAAAACUAUGGCAACAUAAAAUGUGAAUCAUUACAUGCUUCCAACAGGUGACACUUCAACUAGUGACAGUGACAUUAUGCUAUGUAACACUCUAGUCCUUAAUACAAUGAUCAUACUUCUUCAUCUCUUCAAUGUUGUUUGCCUACCUAUUUACAUAUUACGGUCUGGUUCAACUCCAUUUGUAUAUGUCUAUGUGUAUAUACUGUGUACAGGUGUGUGUGUGCAUGUCUAUAUAUUUUUAAAAAGUAGAUAGUCAACCAUCUUUUCAUACUGGAGAAUUUGAUUGUGGCCAGUUUUGAAUAUUCCCAUGCACUGUACCUUUGAAUAACUUUUGAGUUUUCUUUAAUGUUAUCUUCACUUGAUUUUACUAUAACAUUAUAUAAUUAAUGCUUGUUUUAUCUAACUCAAUCAUUUCCUCCUUUAAUUUUCUUUUCCAUUUUUGUUAUUGCUCAUUUGAAGCACAGACUUCAUAAAGCGUCAGUAACUGCCAGUAUCAGGAUUCAAAAGCAAACCACUUAAUGGGAAUGUGUAGCACCCUAGAAACGAACAUAUCAAAUGAUGUGCAUGUUUACUUUUUUAUUAUUGUGAUAUCAUCUGGACAACAAUCCAUAUCCACUGCUGACACAGUUAUCUUUUGCCUACAUCUGUCCAUAAAAGCACGGUGACUCAUUUGUCCCCUGUAGCCUCCUGUAGCACAUCCUCAUCACCAGGAACUACAAAAACAGCGUGAGGGUUGACUGACCGGGUUAAAUGAAGUCAUCGACUGUACAUCAUGAAAUAACUUGUCUGUGAUUAUUUACCAGCUUUGUUACCAUGCAGGCUUUUUAUAGUUUCUGUUCCACUGAGUCCUCCUAAGUAACUGCUUCCUGUGUGGAUGCUCAAUGAUGAUAUCAUAGUCUGAGAGUUUAUUAGUUGAUAAGCAGUUUGACGUAAGGAGGUGAAUGAGUGUUGUCGUGCUGGCAUGAGAAUGAGAGGUAACAGUGGGAUUAGUUGUGUGAUGUUAUGGGGUAACAUAGCCAAGGAAAGAAGGUUAAUGGACCACACACACACACACACACACACACACGCACACAUACAGUAGUCCAGGUAAAGUCAGAGCUUUUCUGAAUAAUCUGGCUCAAAAUUAAACUGAAUGUUAUAGACAACAGCUAAUUUUAGCCAAAAGCUUGUAAUAAUCACACCUACAGGAUAAAGAAUUGAAAUGAAUAGUGAUUAACCCAGAUGCUCUUAUGGGAAACAAAGAGCUGGUGCUACUACUUGAAGAGGCCCAUUUUUACUCAUCUUUAGUCAGAGUGACUUUAGUAUUUAUUGACAUUAAAAAUAAAUUUGGUAUUAAACAACAGGACAGUAGGAUUGAAAUGAAAGCAUCACCCAGAAAACACUGUCAGAAAGGAACAAUGACGUAUAUUGACAGUUAAAGGUACCCUCUUGUGAAAUGUUUGACCACUAGUAGCGCUAAUGAGCAGUGUUUUUACAAGUGGGUCCCUGUUUGUAUCAUGCAUGCGCACAGGGACACACUUGAACUCAGUUUCACUCUUUUCCUGUGAUUGGCAGUUUGUGGCUGUGCUGCCAGCAAAGGCAGUGAAGACUAUUAGCAAGUAAACAUUACUGUGAACGAUGCUGGGUUUAAAAUAUUAAACUAAAUUAAAAUAAUCGAUUGCGUGCAAAUGUUUUAUGAGGAAAGAAAUGCUCUUUGAAUGUAAACAUAACUUUCAAGUGUCUAUAUGAAAACUCAGCAAGUUGACUUUAAAUGUGACAAACAUGGCACAGAAGGUUAGGAAAGAUACGGUUUAUUACAACUAAGGGUUGUCUGACUGCUAAUGAUUGUAACCCUGUUAAACCUAUUCCUGCAUGUUGCUGCACUUCAAGAUGUCAGCACUUACUUUGGUGGGUUUUGGUGUGUUAUCAGACCUGAUAGAACCAAUGGUUGGAGCCAUGAACAAAACCCAAGUUGUAAUAAACCAUAGUUUCCUGGCAGCAGUGUCUCAAGACUGUGUGAAGCAAUGCCAAACCGUCAAAAUUUAGACAAGUUAUGAAGACCUGAAGACUUCCAUGACCUUUUCAGUUAAAUAUAACUAAGUUUACAAAUUUAAAACAAAAUGACUCGUACCACAAAAAUGAUUUUUUUCCCAUCUUCAAACACUCAUUGAGUUUACAAGAACAAAACAUCAGACACACUGAACUUUAGUGACCACAAAUGAAAUGCAGUGUUCAGGUGUGAAACAGUCCCAGAUUAGAUGGACUGUUGUAAUGCUUUUUUUCCAGAUACUUUUUUUUUAUUUUCCAGAUUUCUAUUAC